rnacentral:rRNA from 1 species
UGAGGAAUAUUGGUCAAUGGAGGCAACUCUGAACCAGCCAUGCCGCGUGCAGGAAGAAGGUUCUAUGGAUCGUAAACUGCUUUUGUACAGGAAGAAAUUAUCCCUCGUGAGGGAGCUUGACAGUACUGUAAGAAUAAGGAUCGGCUAACUCCGUGCCAGCAGCCGCGGUAAUACGGAGGAUCCAAGCGUUAUCCGGAAUCAUUGGGUUUAAAGGGUUCGUAGGCGGAUUAGUAAGUCAGGGGUGAAAGUUUGCGGCUUAACCGUAAAAUUGCCUUUGAUACUGCUAGUCUUGAAUAUUUGUGAAGUAGCUAGAAUAUGUAGUGUAGCGGUGAAAUGCUUAGAUAUUACAUGGAAUACCGAUUGCGAAGGCAGGUUACUAACAAAUUAUUGACGCUGAUGAACGAAAGCGUGGGGAGCGAACAGG